rnacentral:lncRNA from 1 species
UGGAGAAGCAAUGUUAUAGUGAUAUAAAUUUAGAAAUGGUAACAAAAAAAAAAAAAAAAAAUAAAAAAGCUAUUAUAAAAAAAGGAGCAUCAGACACGGAUGUGAUAUAUAACGGUAGCAGUGGCAUUAACGGCGAUAGUGGCAUUAACGGCGAUAGUGGCAUUAACGGCGAUAGUGGCAUUAACGGCGACAGUGGCAUUAACGGCGACAGUGGCAUUAACGGCGACAGUGGCAUUAACGGUAGCAGUGGCAUUAACGGUGGCAGUGGCAUUAACGGCAAAGGAAGGAAAAAUAUUUCAUAUUCUAUAUGCAUAAAAAGUAAUAGUAAUAAUAUGGGACAUGCUUAUUCGCGUCGUUAUAAUGACCAGAAAAGUGGUUAUGUUAGUGGUACUGAAAAUGACAAACGCUGUGAUGUUGUAUCAAAACUAAAUUCCUCAUAUCAAUUAUUCUAUAAACUUGAUAAACCGAGUCAUUUUAUGCUGCAUCCAAAUUACAUUCAUCCACUGCGAGUGGAAAAUGUUUCAAGUUUAAAAAAAAAAAAAAAAAAAAUCAUAGUUAACAUACCGGAGUAUAAGUAUAGCAAUAUACCUAAUUUGUUACUAUCGAAUGAUAAUAGUUUAUGUGAAAGUGAUAAAAACUUGACAAGUUUGUUUGGGUAUACUAAAAAUAAAAAUGUAAUUAAAAGUAGGGGGGAAACGAGUAGUAGUGGGCGUAGUAGUGGGCGUAGUAGUGGGAGUAGUAAUGGGUGUAGUAAUGGACCUAAUAUUAGACCUAGCAAUGGACCUAGCAAUGGACCUAGCAAUGGACCUAGCAAUNNNNNNNNNNCUAGCAAUGGACCUAGCAAUGGACCUAGCAAUGGACCUAGCAAUGGAUCUAGCAAUGGACCUAGCAAUGGACCUAGCAAUGGACAUAUUCAGCACCCAGGAAAGACGUCAGAGUUGUCUAAACUUUUAACAAAACAAAGCGAGUAUAAAAAGAAUGAUUUAGAUAAUAACGUAUACAUAUGUGAAAGCAAUGCAAAUGGUGUGAGUCAUAGUGGUUCUAGUAGUAGUGGCAGUCACGAAGACAGUGAUAUCUGGUAUAACAACAUUAUUCCCAUAAUUUUAAAAAAGAAAUUAACUAGGUUGAAAAAAAUAAUUAAAGAAGAUAUGCAUAAAAUUGAACAAGUAAAUAAAGAAAAAGAAGAACAUAAUGCAAAGAAUGAGAUGCUAACACAUAGUAUUAUACAAUUAAAAAAAAAGUUACAAUAUUUAAAAUUAAAUGGUCAGAAUAAUAGUAAUUGUAAAGAUAUUGAUAAUAUGAAAAAGAAAAUAAAAAAAAUAACAAACGAAAAACAAAAAAUUCAACAAAAAUUAAAUAACAAUGAACAAAAAAUGAAACAAUUAAAAAUAGACAUUAUAAAAAUGAAAAAAAACUUUUUACAAAC